UAGAUUUUUUUUUUGAGUCAGCUAACCUAAGUUAGGAGCAUACCAAAAAAGGCCUAGCUUCAAAUUAUGGCACCACUUCUGCCAUGCUAUAGCAGUUCAAAUGGUCUUUGUUCUCCCAAGGUAGAAAAGGAAGAGAAUAGAAAAUUCCUUCACCAACAUCACCGGGACCGUGCAAUUUAUUGUGUUACUGCUCCAUAAGCUUUGGUGAUGCCGAGUCCUGUGCGGCAGCUGAGCAUUAUUGUUAAUCACUAACACGCAUUAUUAGCAGUUUCUCAGACUUAUAAGCUCUUCUCAGUUGAUAACAGGCAGGAAAAUUCAGAGAAAGGUGAAGCUGUGUCAGGGCAAACAUAAAGCAGGGAAGGGCCGGCUCCCAUGGAGAUGCCACGAUAAACAGAGGUCACUUCACCCCGCCUAAGGGAAGCAGAAAGCAGCCUGGGCUGUGGCAAACUCUAGCUUCACUUUCACUUUCAGGGAUCAGCAGCAGAGAUACCAUCUUCUGAGCCUUGAAUGCACUCAGCUGGAGUUGGAUUAGAGCAGGGGUCGGCAACCUUUUACAGCAGAGUGCCAAAAACACCCGCGACCUCGACUUAAACUCUCAAGUCACAUGUCCAAGCAUUCCUCUGACAGUGAGGACUGAAAGUUUCGGCUCUGUCUCAAGUGAAGCAGGAGCAGCGGCUGCAGGGCAAUGCAGACACACCCACGCUCCCUCACACAGAUCCGGACCGUGUAUGUGGAUUUAACUGGUGCUUAUUCCACUGAGUGAAAGUGUGAAAGGAGCAAUGCUUUAAAUCCAGGGGGUAAUUGUUUUGGGCCCUAUAGCUGCAUGUUGCUAUUGCAGUCAAUCCACUGAGUCCAUAUCCCCUAAGUCAGUGGUUCUGCACCUCUUAAGCAGCCUUCGGGAAAUGCCAGCUUUUAGUUUUAAUUUGUCUUUUGACUACAGAAAAAUAAUAAAGCAUUUUUUCUGUUGCAAAGAACUCACAAAGACCACAGCAGGGCAGAAUGUUUUUGACACUGUGGAUUCCUCUGAUAUGUCUGGGUUUAGCUUGUGAAUCGUGUUUAUGCACCUAAUAGUGUUAACAUUGUGUGGCACCCUGCAUCACCCUUGAAAGGAUCUCCAGGCACCCUGUGGAUCUGCAACCUCCUGGUUGAGAAUCACUGUCCUAAGUCUAAUUGUACAGUACACUGGAAGCCAGGAACUUCCCAGCUCUAAUCAAAAUCACUUUUGUGUCCUGCUGCCUCUUCCAAUUUUUCACGGAAAUCCUGCAUCUGCCAGCACUGCCUACAGCUCUGGCUUUAUGGUGCUGAGUAUCCAACCUGCAGGUUGGGUCCCUUCCAGCCCCACUUCUCCAUGAUUCUACGAUUUCAAGUUAGGAGCUGAUCUGGAGCCGAGCAGUUCCCAAGCUAGGGGCCAUCUGCUUGAGGCUCCUCUUUAACACACCACUGGCCAUUUCCUGCAUCGGGGCUGAGUAGGGUUAAACAAAAUGCAAGGCAGGAAAGUCAGGGCUGGAAGUAUUAAAUCCAGGGUGUCUCUGGGGGCUUUUAUUUUAUUUGGAGAAGCAUGAGAAAAGCCAAAGCAAGUUCUUCCAAAGGAUACACUGUUCUGGUGGGAAUAUUAUCAACCAGGCAACAGGACCAGGAGCAGCUACACAAGCAGGGAAUACACAGACAUGCUCACUACAGGGUGGUCGUGUCUCCUGGUCUGAGGCCAACUCCAGAGUUUGCCUCCACAAAGCCCCAUCUGCCCUUGUGCAGGGGCAUUUUAUAUAGUUCAGGCUCAACCCUCUGCUCCUGCCCAUUCCUCUGAGACGAGGCUUGCUUGCCCAGAUCAGCAGGGAGCCGGGAAGGCGAGUCAUGGCCUGGGACCACUGUUCUUUCCUAGGGUGGCUUGAGUAGCAGGGGGGUACGAUCCCUGGCCUGCACAUCUCUGCUGCCCUGAGCCUGAGCCCUCCCCAUCUGCUGCACCUAGAAUCACAGACAAGUCAGGCUAGAAGGGACCUCCAGAGGUAAUUUAGUCCAGUGUUUCUCAGCCCAUGGGUCGUGACCCAAAAUCAGGUCUCAAGAAUAUUUGAAAGUGUCCCUAGCAAGUCCCAGAAGAACAUGGGAAAGCAUGGGUUUCCCCUGGCAGGCUGGCAGCAUUCUAGCCUGCAAGGAGCUGCUUGGCAUGACUGGAUGCAGCAGGAGCAUGUGCAUCUGUGUGCACACAUGCACACGGCCUGCAUGCACCUAGGCAGUGUCAUGGGAGCAGCCCCAGCAGCUGGAUGUAGGUAAGUAUAUAGGGAAAGGGGGUUGGGGUCCAGGGCUUGGGGACUGUCUGUGUGUGUUGUGGGGGGCUGCAUCAGGGCAGGGGGAAGGCAGGUGAAGAGGGUGAGGGAGGAGCUGUGUGGCUGGUCCAGUAACUCUGGGGCCUGUGUGGCUGGGAGAUGCUGCUCGGGGUUGGCAGGAGGGGCCAUGACCAGGCUGCCUGGUGUGGUGUGGUAUGGCAGCCCCAGGCCAGGGCAGCAGGGGUGCCACAGGCCUCCCUUCCUCCUCCUUCCAGUCCGUGCUGGGGCUGGACUCGCUCCACUGCCGCCUGCAUGAGCCAGAAUCGCUGCAACCACCGCACUCUGGCCUGAGCGGGACAGGGGCAGCUGGGGACCCCUCCGGCAGGUUGGGAGUGAGGGACACCGGCAGAGCCAGGGGGCUGUGGGUCGGGACUGGCCAUUGAUCUUUACCAAUGGGUCCCAGUACAGGUAGUCCUCGGACUUGUGACACAAUUGGUUCCUAAAAACUGCAUCUUAAAUUGAAACGUUGCAACUCAGAACCGAUUUUCUCAUAGGAAACAAUUGUUAUAAAUGGGGGAUUGGUUCCUGAACCAAGGCCCCAUACCCUAUUUUCACCAAAAAUAACCCAGAAUGUUGUACUCAGUCAAUUAUAGAUGAGUAAUAUAGCUACAUUCAUAUAUUUAUAUUGUAAAUAGCAAUCAUAUUGAUUUGGAAGGACUUUUUUGAGGUGACUUGUCUGGACUUUUUGAAGGGCUCUUGGCUGAAGUCUUCUCAGGAGUCCUGGCUGCAGGUUUUUCUGGAGUCUUGUCUGCUUUCUUAAAGAAAGUGCCCAAGGAAGUUUGGACAGAUGUUUUCCAGGGAGAUGGGCGGCACAGCAAACUUAUUCGCUGGCGUGUCAUAAAGUCGAAACUGAUGCCAGAAAGUUGAAACAGGGUGUCAAUUUAUAAACGUUAUAAGCUAUGGUGAUGCGCAGCGGGGGCACGUGCACCCCCUGAGAUUGGCGGUGCACCCCCUGACGCCGCUUGCGGGUGGUCGCCACUUGCUACUCCCCCACCCUUGCUGCCAACACUGCCAGCGGCAUCUGCGGGUGGUCACCAAUUGCCACUAGCUGCCACCGAUGCUGCCAGCGGUCGCCACCCCCCACCCUCUGGGGGCACGCGUUGUUCGUGAUCGUAAGUGUGAAACGUUGCAACUCGAAGCAUCGAAAGUCGAGGGCUGCCUGCGCAAAAAAAAGGGUGAGAACCGCUCUUUAGUCCAAGCCCCUGCUUGAGGCAAGAUCAUCCCUCUAAGCACCCCAGACCAUAGUUUCUCAACCUGUGGUAUGCGUACCCCUGCGGGUAUGCAAGACAGGCAGGGGGUAUGUGGGUGCCCCAACACUUUCUCUCUCAAAAC